GGUUAUAAUGGCGUCAGUCUCGUGGGUUGUAUGGUAAAGCAUACAGAGUGAAUCUUUUAAUGUUUUUUUUUUUAUUUUAGCGCCCAAAACAAUUUUCUGGGAUCGUGUUGAAUACUACUUGACCUACUUCAUUAUGUUUGAAGGCUGGAAUCAGGGAAAUUAAAGAUAAUUGUGCGUCAAUGACGAUUCCGUGGAGAAUUAGAAAUUUGGUUGCAUCCAACCUGUUUUAAAGACCACCCUAAGGACAACAAAAUUAUCUUCUUUGAGAGUUCUGUAACAAGCACAAACAGAGGAUAGUUAUAGAUGCUGCAUAACAUUUUUUAAUCACGGUAAAGAUGAUAAUGACAACAAAUAACACUGGAUAAUACAGUAGCUCAAGUAUGGCCAAAUUAAUCUAGAUGAUGGUACCUGGGUAAUUGUGGUUGACAUCUGUCAGAUUGGAGAAGUGUGGCUUUUGGACUCCAACAAGACUACAAACUAACACACUCCGAUUGAUACACUGUUAAGACAAGAAGAUAAAUGAAGAAAAUGAAUGGGAUAGAAACUUACAGAUGCUUGAAAGAAAACCAUUCUAAGGAGGAGGUCAAGGAACAUGAAAUGCUUCAAACCUUUGUGAGUAUGGUUGAAAAGGAAACUCAUGUAAUUAUUUUUAAACGGAGCUCAAAUUUGUAGAACAAAUAUUUCAAGUAUUGUUUUCAGUAAAUUGUUUUUGACCGUAAACAGAUGUAUCGAAAUUUUCUUACUUUUUUCUUACUUACUUUUUCCACUUUCAAAGACUGAGAGCAUUACAACUUUGAAAGAAACUCAGUGAAGACGAAAAUACGAUAUAUGUGGAAAGCAUGAUCGUGUGGCUAGCUUUUAUUUUGGAAUUCAGUGAAUUUGCAUCUUUAAAUUGAAUCAUUUUCGCAUAACUGCAAACCAUUUCCAAGUAGAAUUGAAUUGCCGUGGUUGUUGUUGUUUUUUUUUUUGCCGCAUCCUUCCCCCUUUCAGUUAUCGCAACUUUUACAUUGAAAAAGACGGUCAAGGAAUAAGAGGAGACUCAACUUUUCCGAAACGCAAAUAUUUAAAAAAUUGACACGAGUGGUUUUGGAGGAAGAGAAUACUCCUAGGAUCCGGAUGUGAGAGAAGGACAAAAGACAACGGAAGGUCCAAGAAAGGUCAAUGAAAAGGAGGGAGAAAUUUGCUAUCAUUCCGAAUUGUCUCGUGUAGUGCUCUUACUGUAAACUGAAACUGGU